rnacentral:lncRNA from 1 species
AAAAUUCAAUCGGAAAGUCCCUAAUCAAAUGACAAAACACAUCAAACGAAUGGACAACAACUGUCAUAUUCCUAACUUGGUACAGGCAUUUUCAAAUGUAGAAAAUGGAGAAUUGAGCCUGGUUUUAUAGAGCUAAACCUCUCACUUUUACGACAGUCUCAUCAAAUUCCGUUAUAUUUACAACGAUGUGUGAACAAAACAGACAUAAUAAAUAAAACAGUCAAAAUAUGGGUACAACAGUCAUCACUGUGUUACAAUCUUAAAACAAACAAUUUUACAAAAAAGCACACA